CCUAGUGAGCCCUUUGAAGCCUUGACCAUGUUCUUUCUUAUUAGUCACUAAAUAAUUAAGCCAAGGCCUGUUUUGGACUAUCUCUUUGGCCCAGUGAUGCAUGUCUAAUUUGAACUUCAUUCCAUUGAUUACUAGAGGAAGUUAAGCUGUGUUCUUAUGUGCCGUUUGCCCAAACUGCUGUUUUGUGUAAAGUGAUAAGGAUCUGUGAUCCGUUUGGCCAAACAGUGGCAUUGAUCAGUUGAGUUCUUGGGAUGGGAGCAGUUUUGGGAGACGAUUUGUGGGGAUAUUUUGUAGAUGC
rnacentral:lncRNA from 1 species